rnacentral:rRNA from 1 species
GAUGAACGCUGGCGGCGUGCCUAAUACAUGCAAGUCGAGCGAACAGACGAGGAGCUUGCUCCUCUGACGUUAGCGGCGGACGGGUGAGUAACACGUGGAUAACCUACCUAUAAGACGGGGAUAACUUCGGGAAACCGGAGCUAAUACCGGAUAAUAUAUUGAACCGCAUGGGUCAAUAGUGAAAGACGGUUUUUCUGUCACGUAUAGAUGGAUCUGCGCCGUAUUAGCUAGUUGGUAAGGUAACGGCUUACCAAGGCAACGAUGCGUAGCCGACCGGAGAGGGGGGUAGGCCGCACUGGAACGGAGACGCGGACAAGAGGCCUAAGGGACGGCGCAGAAGGGAAUGGGACGCAGCAGGCGAGAACAUGGCGGAACGACGGGAAGCCAGAGACGAAGGUGCUGGGUUCGUAAUAAUGGGUUACUAGGGAAGAACAGAUGUGUACGUAGCUAUGCAGGUAUUGACGGUAACUGGUAAGAAAGCAACGGCUAACUACGUG